AUUGAACGCUGGCGGCAGGCCUAACACAUGCAAGUCGAGCGGAGCGGCGGACGGGUGAGUAAUGCCUAGGAAUCUGACUGGUAGUGGGGGAUAACGUCCGGAAACGGGCGCUAAUACCGCAUACUAUCAGAUGAGCCUAGGUCGGAUUAGCUAGUUGGUGGGGUAAAGGCCUACCAAGGCGACGAUCCGUAGCUGGUCUGGGAGGAUGAUCAGGCACACUGGAACUGAGAGACGGUCCAGACUCCUGUGGGCGGCAGCAGGGGGGAAUGUUGGACAAUGGGCGAAAGACUGAACCAGUGAUGCGGGGUGUGUGAAGAAGGUCGUCGUAUUGUAAAGCACUUUAAGUGGGGAGGCGUUACCAACAGAAUAAGCACCGGCUAACUUCGUGCCAGCCGCGGUAAUAC
rnacentral:rRNA from 1 species